CCUACGGGAGGCAGCAGUGAGGAAUAUUGGUCAAUGGGGGAGAUCCUGAACCAGCCAAGCCGCGUGGAGGAUGACGGUUUUCUGGGUUGUAACCCCUUUUGGUAGGGGAACUAAUGACGGUAUCUAACGAAUAAGCAGCGUCUAACUCCGGGACAGUAGCCGCGGUAAUGCGGAGGGUGCAACCGUUACUCGGAAUCACUGGGCGUAAAGAGCGCGUAGGGGGGAUAGCAAGUCAGCUGUGAAAUCCUCUGGCGUAAACAUAGAACUGGAGUUGAAACUGUGAGUCUAGAGUAGGGGAGAGGUAGGCGGAAUUCGUGGUGUAGGGGUAAAAUCCGUAGAGAUCAAGAGGAAUACUGAUUGCGAAGGCGACAUGCCAGAACCGAACUGACGCUGAUGCGCGAAAGCGUGGGGAGCGAACAGGAUUAGAUACCCCUGUAGUC
rnacentral:rRNA from 1 species